GACGAACGCUGGCGGCGUGCUUAACACAUGCAAGUCGAACGGAAAGGCCCCUUUGUGGGUUCUCGAGUGUCGGCCGGGGGCGUAACACUUGCGUAACCUGCCCUUGACUUCGGGAUUACUUCAGCAAACUGGAGCCAAUACCGGUUCGGAAUACUUUCUUCAAGGGGGGGGUUGAAAAGUUUCGGCGGGUUUUGAUGGACUCGCGGCAUAUCAGCUUGCUGCAGGGGUUGUGGCUUACCGAGGCUGUGUCGGGUAGCCGGCCUGAGUAGGCGACCGGCCACAUAGAGACUGAGAGACGGCCGAGACACCUACGGGAGGCAGCAGUGGGGAAUAUUGAACAAUGAGCGGAAGCCUGAUGAAGCAACGCCGCGUGCGGGAUGACGGCCUUCGGAUUGUAGACCGCUUUCGGCAGGAGCGAAGCACAUGGUGACGGUACCUGCACAGGAAGCAACGGCUAACUACGUG
rnacentral:rRNA from 1 species